UGCAUCCAGCAUCGCCACAUCGCCAACAGCAACGGGACUCGUAUCCAUAAUUUAUAUCAAAUUAAAUCAAGCCAAAAAUAAAGAUCGCCGAACCCUAGAUUCCAAAACAAAGCGCUCUAAAUUUUCGCUUUUCAAUGGAUUUACAGUGCUUAAAUUAAUUGAAAUUUCAUAUACGUAUAGAGAGAUAAGGUUAAGAAACACAGAUUUGAAGGUCCAGGAGGAUAAGCAACCCUAGAUCUUUACAAAAUGAAACAAUUCUAUCUCCUUGCGUCCUUCUCUUUUGAGAAGAAGAGGCGAAUGGAGGAAGAGAAAAUGGAGGAAAAUGAGGGAAAGUGAGGGAAAAUUUGUUAUGCAAUUGAUGAUGGAUGCUAUUC
rnacentral:misc_RNA from 1 species